GAGCACCUCCUUAUUUUUCUCCGGGGAUUUAGCACAAAGACAAGGACAAGAGCCUAUGGUUUGGAUAGUUAGCUCUUCAAGGAUCGCUGAGGUAGCACUCCUUCACCUUUCUUAGUCUCAGGCACAUUUUGUAUGUUCAUUGAUUGAUUGAUCGGCCUCACCAAGUGGCUUUCGGGAUCUUAGUUCAUUCUAGCUCAAGUCACUUUUCCAUGCUGCCUUCCUAACUACUCAAGGUUCAGGGAUCUUUGAACUUACACCUCUUUACUUAGCUUUAAAGAUUUGGGCUUCCCAGUUGGCUCAGUGGUUAAAAAAAAAGUUGCCUGCCAGUGCAGGUGAAACAGGAAAUUUGGGUUUGAUCCCUAGGUCGGGAAGAUCCCCUGGAGAAGGAAAUGGCAACCCACUCCAAUAUUCUUGCCUGGGAAAUCCCAGAGGAGUCUGGCGGGCUACAGCCCAUGAGGUCACAAAAGGGUCGGACAUGACUUAGCGACUAAACAACAGCAACAAAAGAUUUGUAGGCUUAUUCAGUUUUACUUGUUUCAUGUUCACUAGUCUGCUACUAGUCAGCCAUUGUCAUGGUACAGUGGUGUGUCACAUGACGGCAGCUACUUCAGGAAAGCAACAGUAGUGAUAUGAUGACUUUUUCUCACUGAUGCCUUGGCUAAGUGGUUACAUGUGCCUGCAACCACUCUUGUCAGUUCUCUCUCCACCUUGCUAUUACCACUUGGGCUCUGGCAAAGAAUGUUCAAGAAGAAAGGGUGGGAAAAUAGUUUAUACCCUGCUGGAAGUUGGGGAAGUGCCCCUUAGAGACUAGAAUUCUGCCCCUUUCUGAAGUCUGAGCUUCAGAAGGUUUGGGAAAUUCCAGACAGACUGAGAAUUGAGUUUCUUCAUCUAAAAAAUCAGGAAAUUGGAAAAGAUACUCUCUGAAAGCUCCUUCUGGAAAAAACUUACUCAGAACUUAUGAGCAGCCCUCCUUCCCACAACUAGAGAAAAUUCUGCUCAGCAGUGAAGACCCAGCACAGCCAAAAAGAAAUAUUUUUUUAAAAGAACCUUAUUCUGUAAAAGAAGAGAAGGGUGUUUCAUGUUUGGGAAC
ensembl:lncRNA